UCAAGCCAUGGUGAGCAAGCCAGUAAGGAUCUCCCCUCCAUGACUUCUACUUUCAGGAUCCUGCCCGGUCCGAGUUCCUGCUCUGACUUCCUUCAGUGAUGAACAGCAAUGUGUGUCGUCACAUAUUUGGGCUUCCCUUAUUUCUAACAUCAUGAUCCAGAAGGGUAUACUCAUCCCAGUUGAUGCCAAAGACCCUUGGAUACCUGGUGACUCAUCAGCUUGAAGUUUGAACCCCAAUAUCAGUCUCUGGGUCUUUUAUUUAUUGUGCUGCAUACCCUGACUUUGGUGAUUGAAGAAAAGAGAUCUAAACACUGAAUCUUCUGAUUUAUAUGACAAAAGAUGAUUGGCACAUGGGCUAGCAGGCCACUAGGAAAAGCCCACUCUGAAUGUGCGUAUCAACGCCCAGAAGCAAGGAAAGAUUGAUUGACAUAAUCACACUCUAAGUAAUCCACAAUGGCUGUUUACAAGCUGCAGAGAUGGGCAUAACAGUAGCUUCUCAAUCUAUGAGGCUGGAAGCCUCAGAACAAGAGAGAUCAAUGAUAUAACCACAGUUGGUUGUAGACCGGACACCAGGUGGAGUCCUCCAGGUGGAGUCUUCAUGUCCUUCCUGAACAAGACAACAUCAAGGCCCCACAUGAUAGCCACUUAGAGACUUGUCCAGGGUUUGUCUGGGGCGUCCUAAUUCAUUAAGGGCAGGAUAAACAGAGGCAGGCCUCUGUCUGCCCACUUCAGAUAAAGUGGGACUUUCAGGAAUGGAGGCAUCAGGAAUUCCUGGGGUACACUUGAAACUAUCAAGCAAUGGGCUCUCAACCACAGAUGGGAAGAACUGAAGCUGUUUGUAUCCACUGCACCAUUAGUAGGCUGAAGUCACCUCUCUGCAUGGCAGAGAGAUUCAAUGGGACCAGUCUCCAUAGACUUGCAUGAUUUUUGUUUUGCUCUACAGACAGGAACAGACAUCUUCAAGAUCCUUCAAGCUCCCCACUAGCUUGGCUCUUGGGCAGCUAGAGCAAUGUAACCCCCAAGGGCUUAGAAAGAAAUCUUAAUCUUUUUGUCAACCAUGCAUGGCCCAAGUGCCUCCUAGGAGAUUGUGAAGAUGUGUUACAGGGAGAACUCUUAAUUAUAAUACCAUCCUCCAAUUGGAACUGCUCUAUGAAUGAGAAGGAACAUACUUGGAAGUUCCUCAUAUGCAACUUUUUCUUUUAACGUGAGACCACCCCCCAAACUUACGACUUCACAGAAACUUAGUGUGAGUAUACACUUGUAGGAAGUUACUCACCCCAAGACUAACCAGGGAGACUUCAUUUGUCACUGGUAAAGAAGAUACUUCUGUAAGUUUGAUCCUGCUCAAUCUUAAGUGCACACCACCACAUACCGAUGACCUUGUUCAAAGUACAUCCUGUUGAAAAAUUAGGUAUCCUGGAUCUGUCCCUGAUGCAUGAGCUGACUUUUUGGAGUCCAUUCCCUAUGGUGGGGUGCCUUGCUCAGCCCCUAUACAGGAGGAAGGGGCUUGGUCCUGCCUCACCUUGAUGUGCCAGACUUUGUUGACUUCCUAUGGGAGACCUUACCCUUUCUGAGGAGUGUAUGGGGGGUGUCA